rnacentral:rRNA from 1 species
CGUAGGGGCCUAGCGUUGUCCGGAUUUAUUGGGCGUAAAGAGCUCGUAGGCGGUUCGGCAAGUCGGAUGUGAAAUCUCCACGCUUAACGUGGAGGGGCCAUUCGAAACUGCCGUGACUCGAGUCCGGUAGGGGAGUGUGGAAUUCCUGGUGUAGCGGUGAAAUGCGCAGAUAUCAGGAGGAACACCAGUAGCGAAGGCGGCACUCUGGGCCGGUACUGACGCUGAGGAGCGAAAGCGUGGGGAGCGAACAGGAUUAGAUACCCUGGUAGUCCACGCCGUAAACGUUGGGCACUAGGUGUGGGACUCUAUCGACGGGUUCCGUGCCGUAGCUAACGCAUUAAGUGCCCCGCCUGGGGAGUACGGCCGCAAGGCUA